rnacentral:rRNA from 1 species
GAUUGAACGCUAGCGGCAUGCUUAACACAUGCAAGUCGAACGGCAGCACGAGGAGCUUGCUCCUUGGUGGCGAGUGGCGGACGGGGGAGUAACGCGUAGGAACCUACCCAGUAGUGGGGGACAACCCGAGGAAACUCGGGCUAAUACCGCAUACGCCCUACGGGGGAAAGCGGAGGAUCUUAGAAGCUCUCGCUAUUAGAUGAGCCUACGUCGGAUUAGCUUGUUGGUGGGGUAAAGGCCUACCAAGGCGACGAUCCGUAGCUGGUCUGAGAGGACGAUCAGCCACACUGGGACUUAGACACGGCCCAGACUCCUACGGGAGGCAGCAGUGGGGAAUAUUGGACAAUGGGGGCAACCCUGAUCCAGCAAUGCCGCGUGUGUGAAGAAGGCCUUCGGGUUGUAAAGCACUUUCAGUGGGGAAGAAAGGUCUAAGAUUAAUACUCUUGGUAGUUGACAUUACCCACAGAAGAAGCACUGGCUAACUCUGUGCCAGCAGCCGCGGUAAUACAGAGAGUGCAAGCGUUAAUCGGAAUUACUGGGCGUAAAGCGCGCGUAGGUGGAUACUUCAGUCGGAUGUGAAAGCCCUAGGCUUAACCUAGGAAUUGCAUUCGAUACUGGGCGACUAGAGUAUAGUAGAGGGAAAGUGGAAUUUCCCGGUGUAGCGGUGAAAUGCGUAGAUAUCGGGAAGGAACACCAGUGGGCGAAAGGCGGCUUUCCUGGAUUGAUACUGACACUGAGGUGCGAAAGCGUGGGGAGCAAACAGGAUUAGAGACCCUGGUAGUCCACGCUGUCAACGAUGAGAACUAGAUGUUGGGGGGGCGACCCUUUAGUAUCGAAGCUAACGCGUUAAGUUCUCCGCCUGGGGAGUACGGUCGCAAGAUUAAAACUCAAAUGAAUUGACGGGGGCCCGCACAAGCGGUGGAGCAUGUGGUUUAAUUCGACGCAACGCGAAGAACCUUACGUGGUCUUGACAUCCUACGAACUUACUAGAAAUAGUUUGGUGCCUUCGGGAACGUAGUGACAGGUGCUGCAUGGCUGUCCUCAGCUCGUGUCGUGAGAUGUUGGGUUAAGUCCCGUAACGAGCGCAACCCUUGUCCUUAUUUGCCAUCAUUAAGUUGGGCACUCUAGGGAGACUGCCGGUGACAAACCGGAGGAAGGUGGGGACGACGUCAAGUCAUCAUGGCCCUUACGACCAGGGCUACACACGUGCUACAAUGGAGCGUACAAAGGGUUGCGACCUCGCGAGAGUGAGCUAAUCCCAUAAAACGUUUCGUAGUCCGGAUCGCAGUCUGGCACUCGACUGCGUGAAGUCGGAAUCGCUAGUAAUCGUAGAUCAGAAUGCUACGGUGAAUACGUUCCCGGGCCUUGUACA